GCUUCAGAUCUGAAAUCAGUUCAUUUAUUGUUCCAUUCAUCAUCGGACUCGGUAGUGGAAUUAUCCUCGUACUGCUGCUGCUGUGCUGCUGCAGAAAGAUAAAGGAUCUUUGUUGUAACAGUCUCACUCAGUCUCAGAGCACCAAUCAAAGCUCUGCUGCACAACAAAACGCCAACAACGAUGAGAAUAACGUUUACACCUCUAUUCUU